rnacentral:misc_RNA from 1 species
UUUCCGUAGGUGAACCUGCGGAAGGAUCAUUGUCGAAACCUGCCCAGCAGAACGACCCGCGAACUUGUAUAAACAACCGGGGGCGGGGGGCGUUCUCGCCCCGUGCCCCCGAACGGCGGGGAGACACUCGUGCCUUCUUGCCGAACAACGAUCCCCGGCGCGGUCUGCGCCAAGGAACUUCAACUAAAGAGUGCCUCCGGUCGCCUCGGAAACGGCGUGCGUGCCGGGGGCGAAUCUUGUGCAAAACCAUAACGACUCUCGGCAACGGAUAUCUCGGCUCUC